CAGAUAAUCCUGGAGUGUAAAAAAUUGUUUAUGAGCCAGCCUGCAUUAGUCGACAUUACAGUACCAGCAGGAGAGAAGUUCACGAUAUGUGGUGACAUCCAUGGACAGUAUUAUGAUUUACUUAACAUAUUUGACUUGAACGGACCUCCAUCAGAGAAAAAUCCAUAUCUUUUCAAUGGUGACUUUGUAGAUCGAGGCUCCUUUUCAGUAGAAUGUAUUCUUCUGUUAUUUAGUUAUAAACUUCUUUACCCAAACCAUUUCUUCAUGGCCAGAGGUAUGUAAGAAUGAUAUCAACAGUUGUUUCAGUUACAAACUCUUUAUAGUUAAAACACGACUUUUUUAUAGUAAAUGUAAAUAUUUUCACUGGGUAAUAUUUGAUAAAGUAUGGCCAGGUUUUAAACUUCUCAACAGUUUUGCAGUCAACAUUUGUAA